UGAGGAAUAUUGCACAAUGGGGGCAACCCUGAUGCAGCAACGCCGCGUGGAGGAUGACGGUCCUUGGAUUGUAAACUCCUUUUUUCGGGGAAGAGAACGGACGGUACCCGAAGAAUAAGUCACGGCUAACUACGUGCCAGCAGCCGCGGUAAUACGUAGGUGGCGAGCGUUAUCCGGAAUUACUGGGCGUAAAGCGCACGCAGGCGGCUCAUUAAGUCUGACGUGAAAGCUCCUGGCUUAACUGGGAGAG
rnacentral:rRNA from 1 species